UUUCUCAUUUAUUUUUCCCCCAAACCGACGCCAUCCCCUUUUCUCCCCUCUCAACCCCUGUUCGUCGCCUCUCCGAUUCGCCGACUCCCUCAUGAACCGAGCUUUCCAAAAAACCUAAAAAUUUGCUCUGAGUUCUUUAGAUUUCGUUAGUUUCUGGCUCGAUUGUUUGGGAUUUGAUCGGAGAUGGCGGAUGUCGACACUUGACUCUGAAUCGGGGCUGUUUCUUGUUGAUUCUACAGAGCCAAAGAAACAGCCUGAGGUUAUGAUUGUAAGAUUUUGUGAUAUUGGGAGAUCUCUAGGGUUUGGUCUCAAUUGCUUGGUUGGCGCUGUUGGUGAUCGUUUGGGAUGAGGAAUGAGGGGCAGAGGCCUCAAGGAUCCAGACGGAACAAUGGAUUCAUGAGGAGCUUCUCGAGCUACUUGAGGAUUGUCUCUAAUGGUGCUUUGAAUAUGGCGUUGACUGUGAAAUCUGCGGGGGUUUCGGUCGCUUCGUCCUUAGCUGAACGCGAUGAGGAUGAUGCUCGUGAUCAAUACUAUCCAAGCUUGAACCGGUCAAGAUGUUGCAUGAAAGGAAUAUGUACAGGAAGGAGCCCAGAGGAAGCAACCUGAAUGGGGAUUGCAAGCUCUCCCCACUUGGGGAUGGCAAAUGCAUCGGCAAGCCACAUUGUCAUUGUUCUCUUCUGCAGCAACAUCAAGAUUCUCGACUAACUUGGUUACAGCCACAGCUCAUUCACCUUAUCUUCAGUUUCCUCCACCGUCUAUAUCUAAUGCCGCACGUUUGUGUUUCCCAAUUCAUUUAUUAUUUUCCUCUCUAUAAAAUUAUUCAUGCAGUUUGUGUUUGAGGAUUUGGUACGUGGUAUAUUCACCCGAAUCUGGUACGUGGAACCACAUUCCAGAGAGGUAAGGACAUUCAACAUACCACAAUAACCUGAAUCCUUGAGGGUCUAAUUCUAACCAGAGUAUAUAUGUUGCCUAUAUCAAUUUAAUCUUUCUACUACUAUUUAGGAUGUUUUUAAAGUUUAUGAAGCUUGAUCUCAACUUUUGGCAACCGUUCAAUUGAAAUAAUUUGAUUGCCUUGCCUCUUUUGAAGUGCCUUUUUAUGAACCAGUAUGUUUGCAUCAAAAUUUGUGACAGGCAGUUUUGUAUUCUGAACAUGGGGCUCCUUUCUCAUUUACCUUGUCUUUGGUUGGUUUAACUGUAAUUACGUUCUUGAUGGCGCUUAUGCUUAACAUGGUGAAACUUUACAGGAUUUUGGAAUCCUGUUGAGGGCCGGUUGCAUACGUCUAAAGUAUUUCUUUUGUUUGUGGUUCUAUUAUUGAUGAUCUAAAUUAUUUUGAAGUUUUAAUUACAAUUUUUUGUGUUUUUCUGUGGAAGAAUUGACCUUUGGUGAUUGUUCUUUUUUGCUAUUUUAUCCAUCCAUUUUAGAGAUAAAUGGAUUGGUUCAUCUUCAGUCUGCAAAAGUGUCAAACUGUUCAGGAAUAAAUAUGGUCAUUGUGAAGACUACAAAUGUUAAGCAAUUUGUGUUGUUUUCUGGGGAGAAUACACAUAAGAUCUCGAGACUAAAUUUCCAGCUUUUAGAUGAUGAUGGUAAUGAUUUUUCCACUGCAGCAGGAAAACCUUAACUUCUGAAGCAUUUGAAUUUAAGAGGGAGCAAAUUUGCACUCAAUAUAACCAAUUUUACUACUCUCGAGACUGUUUUACUUGAAGAUAUAUAUAUCUUACAGAUGAGGAUGUGGGCAAUUUAUUGACAAGUUGUUUGUUCCUUAAGAGAUUGGAUCUCAUAACAUGUCGCGGUUUUUUCACUCUGAACAUCAUGGGUCCAUUCUCGCGACUCAAGAUUCUGAAUGUGAGGCAUUGCAACCAACUUGUUGAGAUAGGAAUUUGUGCUUCAAAUCUUAUGGAAUUUAGAUAUCUUGGACAGCUAAUAUGUUUCUCUAUGAGAGAAGUUUCCAAAUUGGUAACAGUGGAGAUCAAAAUUAAAGAAGAUGUCUGCGAUAUCAGCUCUGAAUGUUGCUUAACAUGCAGGGGGAAGAGGCUACACAGUAUCUCAUAGGGAACAAAGAUAAAUUUCAAGUUGUUGGGUAUGUUUCAGAGACCCAAGGCUAUCAGACUUCCACCUAUGUCGGCGAUAAAAUUUAUUUAAUUGGAGGAUCUGAGGAAUAUGCUGGCUCAGUGAUUGGAGUCAAAAUUCUUGAUAAGUUAACAUGAAAAUUGUGAGAUUCAAUCUCAACUAAUUCUUGCUCAUUUGCUACUUUAGCAUAUAGUGUUUAAUUAUUUAAAUUUUCAUGGAAUUGGGAGGUCUUUUCCUACUACAUUGGGUACCAAGCCCAUUUCAUCUGAAUGCCACUCAGAAGUUCUUAUAAAUAAAAAUCAGAUCUUGAUCCUUAAGGGGAGGUCUCCUCUUGCUGAUUGAAGCUACUUUCUUGAGGUUUGUAAUCUUCAUAUUAUUUUCAUCUUCUAUUUCAGACUUUAUGAAAUUGACAGUUUAUAGUUAAUUGCUUGAUAUGAUUUGGAUAAUGACAUAUCAUUAGAAAACAACAUAAGAAUCUCAACAGAUUUACAUAGAGGAUGGUGGAUUUGAUAGCAUAUUUGAACAUCCUUAGAGGUUACUAUUGAAUAUGGUGAAGACAGAUCAAAUGCAUUGGCCAAAUGCAUGAAUUCGAAAUCUACAUGUGUAAUUUAUGUGAAAUCAUUGGUAGCUAAUCAUCGGCAAUACAACAUUGUGUUAGCAUAUUUCGUAGGAUAUGUAUUUUGAUGGUAGUUCCAAUUCAAUCAAAUAGUCAUAAAAGAGCAAAAUAGGUGAAUUGGAACAGAAGUGGUAGCUUGGAGUAAGGCGUCAGAGGCAGUGGCCUAAAUCUAAUUGUAAUCAGUGGCCCCUAAAAAGUCGGCAAGGGAACUCUGAUAUCAAAGCUAAUGAAAGAAU